AAGCUGGGGUGUCGGCGGGCGGCCGCGGCCGGGUCUAGUGGUGCCUGCGGAAGAAGGAGGAGGAGGGCUGGCGAUGAGAAGCAGCAGGGGGAAUCAAGGGCAAGAAGGGACCCAGAGGGGCAGGUGGCUGAGAUGCUGGCGUCCAGGUGACCCGAGGAAUCCUCUGGAGAUACAGGCCCGCGCAUGCGCGUGCUCGAGCGCUGAAGCCCAUUGCCCGCAGGGCGCUGGACUGGCGCCCCGGCCGGCGAGGCUGUCUAGUCCAGGCUCCAGGCCCCGGCUCUGGCCAGGCGCCGCCGCCUCCCGGUGCAGCUGAAAGUCGACGAAGAGGGCGGGGCGGGGGCGGCUUGUGGACUUCCACACUUUUCCUCUCUUCGGGCCAGUCUGGGGAGAGGGUGGCUAGCUGUGGCGGCGGCCAAUUACGUGGCGGACCUGCGGGGCUAAGCUGGCACGUCACUUCCGACUAGUGGAGUUUUUAGCCUUUUAACAUUCAAGGAUUAGGUAAAAGUCUUGCAGUGAAAAACCCGAGGACCCUUACCGCAAGUGUCUUUUGCUCCCAGCUACUGAUACUGGAUUCCACUCGUGAUUCUCCCUUUCUUAGCGCAUUCAUGAUAUAGACAUCAGUCUCUGAGCUGGAGGAGGACAAAGGCAGCGGUCCUGUGAAUUCUAUGCUCUAGCUUGGGUUAAGGGAUUUGGAAUUGCACUUGUUUCAGAGAGCUCCCUCUUUGCCCACUAGCAGGGCAUUAGCUGGUGCUGAAGACAGUGGCUGCUUGGCGAGCCUGGAUCUCCAAGUGACCCCCUCAGCAACUCCUGAUGAACAGGACUGAAGCCAAUAUUAAAGCAAGUCAACCAAAGGUUCUCUGGUGUAGACAAGACAGCAAAAGGACAGACUACCUUGUGGAACCUAGCAUUGUUCUCCUUCUGCAGCACUAAGUAACAUUUGUUCUCCGUUAAGAUCUUUGCAAACCACACACAAGAAUUGCUGGUCAUCCUGCCAAUAGAUGCUGCUCACAGAACCAAAUUUCCUGUGCUGAAUUGUCACUCAUGGGCUUGAGAGUAGGAGACUGGAGACCAAGGUGGCUAGAAUCCAGUUGGGCCUGAUGUCUCCCUGUUGAAAGGGCUCCUUGUGGAAUGAAUAGCACAUGGCUCCUGUGGUGGAUCUGAUAGUGGCAUAGCACCAAGUGAUGCAGGCCUGCCAGGGGCCACAGACACAGAAGAUGCUCCCGGGGUCCCCCAUGUACUCCAGACACACUGCAGGCCACCUCUCCCAGCAGGUUGCCAGUCAUGGGCCCCAUCAUCAUGACUUCUGUCCAAGGUACUGUGUGCAGAAAUGUGAUUGAGAUUCAAGUCAGGGCCUCUCUGCCCUUUUCCCUCCAGAAACAAAACCAAGAUAAUUUAUCCUGAACACGGUGAAAAAAGGAAGGGAGGGAGGAGAAAAAGUCCGGGUCUCACCUGGGAUUCUCUGUCUCCUGCAACAUGAAGGAUUUAGCCUGGGAGGAGGUGGUGAGAACUCUGGGAGAGAAAAAAGAAGGAAAGAAUAGUUUUACCCAUGCUGAAGUUAAUUUAAACCUUCACCUAGAGAAGCAAAAAAAAAAAACCCACACUUUCCCAUUUUGUGCCUCCCUUCCUAGAGUUUUAGCCAAAGGUUUAGCUAAGUAAUUGGUUUUACCAGCGCACUCACUCCUCCUAUCCCAAGUCUGUUUGACUCCCUCCCCAUCAUCCUCCUCACCUCUUUUCAGGCAGGGUGGGGAUAGCAGCAGGAGGAGAUUUUGGGAGCCUGGCAACUCCUGCAAGGACCGCAGGACAGCCCCUCUGUGGGGAUGCGUGGUGCCCCAUCUGCCGCCCUUCUGAAGAAUGCACUGCCUUCACUUUUUACUGUGUUAGAGUCCAUCCAGACUGUUCUAUCCAAAAAAGUUUCUUUUUCCCCCACAGGCAAUCAGGAAAUGAUUCCUUUCCCGACUGCUUCUGUCUAGUGCCUGGGAAUCUUGAGUCAAUCCCUCAGUAAGUCAGUGACUAGGGAAAUCCCUCUCUGAGCCUCCCAGUUCAUGUUGCUUAGGGAACCUGAUAUUUUCGUGAAACCUGCCUACACAUGGGCAGCCCAACAGCAGAACAAAUGGUGGUGACCAAAGUGAACAAAGAAGUAUAGUUGUGCCAGCUUCGUAGUUGCCCAUGUGGACAAGUCAGCAGGAUCAGGACACGAGGAAGAGUAAAUGUGAGACAGUCAAUGUGACUUCUGCGAUAAACAGAUUUUUAAACCCCGAAAUUUUGCAAAAUUUUGGUGAAACCUGAACUUUCUUCGUUGCAUAUACUGGCACUAUCUGUACCAUCAUACAACUGUCUCACAUUAAAGCUAUUUUUCUUGGGCACUGAUGAGUAAGGUUGGUAUAAGUUCCUCAGAUCAACAAAAACCCAUUUUCCUGUAAGUCUUACAUUUAGUAUUUAAGGAACUAAAACUUAAAUACAUUUUGUGAAAUGGUUGACACUUCACUGAUAAUGAUUUAUUGCUUGGAUUAAUAAAUUUUCCAAAAGUUGUCUUAUGUAGAAUAUGGUUUGCAACCAGCAGAACCAUUAAUCUAUACUGCAAUGAUAUGCACUAUGUAUAAUUGUUUAAAAGCCUCUACUUAAUGAUGUAAAAUGCUCUAUUUAAUUACACAUUUGGGUAAACUGUAUACUAACAUCUGAUGGCAUUUUUCCACUGUUUGUUGCUUUUUUCAAAUACUUUAUUGUACAAAGCUGUUCUUAAUAUUUUUCAAGUUUUUUUCUUUGAAUUUUGCUAAUGUUUUCCUUGAAUUAUGAGCACUGACAGAAUGUGCUUAGCACUUUUGGCUAUUCACACAGCUUUUGAGCAUGAUUUGCAUCCAAUAUUUACAUUGCUAGCAAUAAUAAGCCAUCUGUGAGUUUUGUCAAAA
rnacentral:misc_RNA from 1 species